AUAUAGGAGUUGUAGAAGUUAGCCUGAGUACCAGACUAUGAUAGUCAUGAGUCGAGGUAAGCUUGGUGCUACCUCUUUGUCUCUUUGUUUCUUUGUUGUUGAAAAAUAAUGGAUGGAUUUUGAAUAUUGAGAAGUGAGUCUAUAAAAUAAAUCAGAGAUUAAUUUAUGAGAUAUUGAUUAUGUAAUUGGAGUACUAAGUGAUUGAAUUAUAUGAGGAGUUAUUGAAAGAUUAUGAUUGUUUUUUAUUGAGAGCUGUGUGUGUUUUGACAGAAAAAAUCUGUGAUUACAAAAAUUAUGUGAAUUCAGAUUGGUUGGAGUGAAGUUUGUUAUUUCUGGUGUUGGAUGGAAAUUAUGUAUUUUGAGCGGUCUUUUGAGAGUACAGGGUUGUACAUUAUUGUUAUCAGUUGAUGAAAGAGUAUUGUUACUAAAAGAAAGCAUUGUAGUGUUUCUUAGUA
rnacentral:lncRNA from 1 species